rnacentral:lncRNA from 1 species
GAGUAUGGGAAGUUGGAGCAAGAACAUCUUGACAUGGAAGUGUGUCAAGUGGGGAACAACCUGGAGCGAGAGAGUUGACCCCAUUCGAGUUGGCCACUUGAAAUGAGUUUUUCCCGCUGCUAAUGCGCUUAACCACAUAAAAUGUAAUUCAAAUCAGCUCAUUAAAUGCCUGCCACUCUUGACACAUGUACCAAAAUGCACAGAGAACUCGGAAAGGCAGCUAUUAAAGGAGGAACAUUGGAGCGAAAGACAAGGAAAAACAUUUGGUUUUUCUGCACGGGUCGGAGCUGGGGAAGCCGCCGUAAAGGACAGUUUAUGGAGCCACAUUAAAGUGCGGAAGUAAGUGGCGCAAAAAAAGGACAAGGGCCCAGAAACACACACACACAAAAGGACAAGUACACACGAAGAGAAACUAAAAAUGCAGCAGCUUUCUUUCCCCCCCACAAAAAAAAGGACAAGGAACAAACAACGUGGAAAGUCAGACACAUUAAAGAUGAUAUAUUAGGGAGAUGGCAGUCAGAACAUGAGAUAUAUUUUAUGGGCCCGAGGGGCGGAGGUUCCGCAGCAGUAACUUUGGACCGGUCAAUAGGUUGGUUCCAUCUUUUUAUGAUAAUUUUUAAACAUUUUUUACUAAUCACAAAUGUUGAUUGUCUUUUAUAUGAUCCCCAUACUUUAUUAAAGGAAAAG